GCACACACAUUUAUUUACACACACACACACACGUUUAAUUCACACACACGUUUAAUACACACACACAUUUACACAGGUGAAAUAAUAAACACACACACAUACGUAAAACACACAUUUAUUUACACACACACACGUUUAAUACACACACACAUUUACACAGGUGAAAUAAUAAACACACACACAUACGUAAAACACACAUUUAUUUACACACACACACACACUGUUCACAUUUAUUUACACACACACACUUGGUAAUGAGUUACUGUCAGUGACAUGGUGUGACGUCACCAUUAAUAAACAGCAUCCUCCUAAAAUCACGUGACUGUUCAACGCUAACGGUUAGCUUCCUGAUGCUCACUAACACUAACAGUUAGCACAGAGCGGCUAAGCUAACCAUGAUAUUAAUAAGUGGGACAGUUUGAGCCUUUAAUAACAAACUGUUUAAUAUGAACUUCUUCAAAUGUCCCUGAACGGGCCCGGCUCUGCUGACAGUUAGCUCAUUGCUAACGUUAGCACGGAGAGAAAACGCCCUGAGAGCGGGCCGACAGAACAAUAAAAUGAACGACAUGUACGCUGUUGUCAACAAACAGAAACAGCCCCGCCCAUGUUCACAUGACCCAACCUACUCCACCUUAGCCCCGCCCACACACAGCAGUGCGUCGACACCCCUCCAUUACUAUGACAACGAUCCUUCAUCAACCAUCUAUAGCGUGGUCAAGAAGAGUCCGACGACCAAUCAGAGACCGACCACAGGAUCAGGUGAAGGUCAGACAGCGUCUGAAAAUGACUACGAAGACCUGAGCUGUGUGUGUCGUCCUGAAGACAUCGGUUUUAACUGUAGAGUUCAGAAACCUAAAGGACCACGAGGAGCUCCAUCAGACUGGACUCAUCUACAGCCCUGAGUGUGUGUGUGUGUGUGUACGUGUGCGCGUGUGUCUGUGUUUCUCAGAAGUAUCUCUGGAAAAAUGUAAAGACUGUUUAAUGUUAUUGGAGAGUUUUUUGUUGAUUCAGAGGCUCUGAUAUGAAAGCUUGUGUCACUCUGUAGUUACUAAGGGUGUAAGUAAAAAUAAAGUCUGCGAUAUAUCGCGAUAUUUCA
rnacentral:lncRNA from 1 species